GAUGAACGCUGGCGGCGUGCCUAAUACAUGCAAGUCGAACGCUUCACUUCGGUGAAGAGUGGCGAACGGGUGAGUAAUACAUAAGUAACCUGGCAUCUACAGGGGGAUAACUGAUGGAAACGUCAGCUAAGACCGCAUAGGUGUAGAGAUCGCAUGAACUCUAUAUGAAAAGUGCUACGGGACUGGUAGAUGAUGGACUUAUGGCGCAUUAGCUUGUUGGUAGGGUAACGGCCUACCAAGGCGACGAUGCGUAGCCGACCUGAGAGGGUGACCGGCCACACUGGGACUGAGACACGGCCCAGACUCCUACGGGAGGCAGCAGUAGGGAAUUUUCGGCAAUGGGGGAAACCCUGACCGAGCAACGCCGCGUGAAGGAUGAAGUAAUUCGUUAUGUAAACUUCUGUCAUAGAGGAAGAACGGUGGAUAUAGGGAAUGAUAUCCAAGUGACGGUACUCUAUAAGAAAGCCACGGCUAACUACGUG
rnacentral:rRNA from 1 species